rnacentral:lncRNA from 1 species
AAUAGGGGCAGGUUUGGUUUGCAAUCCCCCUACUUCAUUUUAGGGUUUUCAACUAUCAUAAUGUAUCCUUUUGUUAUUUAUUUGUUUGUUGUUUUGAAAACAGGACCAGAAAGGACUCCCUGAGGAAUUGUUUGCUGUAAAGAUGUAUGCUUUAACAACUGAAGGGCCAAAUAAGGUUCUCAAGACAAGAUCCAAGGCGCAAGCCAACAGACCUGGCAUCAUCAAAUGAUUUGUUGCCUCUUAACUUCUUGCAUUGUUGUAGGAGUACUCAAACUUUUCUGGUGUGGGAUGUGAUUUUAUCUUCCUAUGUAAUUUAUUAGUGUAUUACCUCAAAUUGUUUUUACUUUACAAGCUCCUUGUGGACAAAUUUUGUUCUUUUUCGUUUGAAGCUGUGUAUUUAUCCCUGGUAUACCUUUGAAGCUGUGUAUGUUCCUAAAUUCAAUUAUUGCUUGCAUAUUUUAAUUUUAUCUUAAAUUUUUUUUUUUACUUUUUAAACAAAAAUAAAGAGUAAAAUUUGCUGGUCCUUUUUACCAAGUCUGUAAUCCUUAGUCUAAUAAUACUUUAGAUGUUUAUUUUUGCUCCUAUACGCAAGACCAUCUCUCUCCCUUUUUGUCGUGUUAUGUACCAAACGGUGUCGUUUGGCACUUUGCUCCUUACAACCCUAACUCUAAAUUCCUUUUUUUCUCUCUCUCUCUCCUACAUUUUUCCCCUUGACUUUCUCUCUCUACCGCCGGCGGCUCUCUCUCACUUCUCUCUAACCCUUCAGCUCACUUCCUUCUCUCUUUCUCUUUCGGUUGGAAGUAAUGAGAAUCUCCCAAUCCCAAAAAAGGAAAUCAACUUUCUCUCCCUCACACUGCCAGAACCUUCCUUUCACCCUCACAAGUCACUCCCCAACCGAACCCAUUUCCUAGAUCUCCCUCUUUGUAAACAUUGGAGUUUUGUUUUGAUGCUUUUUUGCUUUUCUUCUAUUUUUUUGCCUUUUUGGUUGUGUUAUCUUGGGUGUGGUAUCCGGAUGCUAGAUUAAAAAGUUAGACGUUUUUGCUUCUAGGUUUUAUCUCUUUUCUGGAGAUUUUUGUUGAUGGAAUCUACAGCUUGAGGGAAUCUAUGUUUAGUUUUUUUAUAUGUAAACACCCUUUUCCAUCAUAAGGUUAAAAUUUUUUUGUUCUUUGUUUGAGAUGGAUAUCAAACCCUAUCUUCAUGAACACCACUUGCUUUAUGAUGACUACAGUGAAUCAAAGGCUCUUUGUAAUAUAUGCAAUAAGAAAAUGGAUGGUUUGUCUUAUUAUUGUGAAAGAUGCGAGUUCUGGUUGCAUAAUAGCUGCGUUCAUCAACAGCUACCUCUUCAGAUAAGUGCACAUCCUCUCCAUUCCCAACACAAUCUUAGUCUCUUAUGGUCAAACCACAUAGAUUACAUAUGUGCUAAAUGUUUCAAUCUUUCUCGAGGUCACAGGUACCAUUGCAAAGAUUGUGAUUUUAGCCUUGAGUAUCAAUGUGCUUUUUCAACCAAUGAUGAGAAAAAUAGACUCAGUGAUAACACAUCCAAAAAAAUUGGUCGUUUCAACAAGUCGUUGACCCUCUUUAACUAUAGGAGAGUGAGAAAGUAUGAGCAUAUAUGUAGUUGGUGUGAGAACCAUUUGUCUGGAAUGUCGUAUGGUUGUCUUAACGAUGGUGUUUAUAUCUGGUUCCAUGAAUCCUGCCUAAUCAACAUGCCUAGCAUAAUCUUCAAACACCCAUUCCAUCCAUUACACCCUCUUUCAUUAAGCAACAUUCAUUUUGAUAAUGGAUUGUGCCAUGCUUGCAACCUACCAAUAUGGGAGUUCAGAAAAGCCUAUUGUUGUAGAAAAUGUAAAUUCCUCCUUCAUGUGCAUUGUGCCAAACUACGACCCAGUCUCAAGGUUGAGUUACAUGAGCAUGAUCUUACUUAUUUUCGAAUAAAAGCAAAUAUCGCUACCCACCUAUGCAGGAUAUGUGGUUUUAAUUUUGAUGCUUUAGGGAGAGAAAGUGUGUUUUAUCGUUGUGUUCAGUGUAAUUUCAAUUACCAUUUCAAAUGUCUUACAAUACCACAUUCUACUUCACACAAGUAUCAUAGGCAUGACCUUGUGCUUAUGGAUUCAUUUAUAGAAGAUUUAUCUGAAGAAUAUUAUUGUGAUAUAUGUGAAGAAGAAAGAAAACCCAAGCAUAGUGUUUAUUGUUGCAAGGAAUGCAAAUUUAUUGCUCACAUCGAAUGUGCACUCAAAAAGGCAAGGAAACAUUAACUCUCUCUCUCUCUCUCUAAAGAAAUUUAAUAAAUGUUUUUUUCAUUAGAUAAACUAUUAAUUAUUUGAUCAUAGAUCACAUAUAAUGUGCCAUUUAGAAAAAUUUUGAUGCUAAUAUUUUCACUUCCUCAGGUUGUAGAUGUAAAACUUGAUCAAUGUUUGACCUCUAGCUUGUUGGACAGCGAAGCUUCAACAUUGAAGGUGAUGGAAUUGGGUCUUUUAUAUUGAUAUUAUUGUGAUGUUUUCACUUGCCAAUAAUGUUUUUUUUUUUUAAGUUUACAUCACUUGAGGUCUUCUAUGAUUCCUUGGAUUUAUAUAUUUUAAAGAUUUUGUAGUAAUAAACACUAUUUAUUUUUUUGAAUAAAAUUCAAUAAAAAAAUAAAAAAUGUAAAUAAUAUAGGUAAGAAACCUCUACUUAUAUAACAGUAUUCAAAAUUAAUUUGGAGAUGGCUUUAGUAAAAAUAUUGAAUGCUGAAUAAAAUAAAAACACAUACGUGCAUCAUGUUAAUUUCUGAACAUAUAUAUUUGAUUAUUUAGUUAUUGCUUCCAUAGUUUAGUUUUAUCUUAAAUUUUCAUUUCUUUUACUUUUUAAACACAAUUAACAAGUAAAUUUUACUCUUAAUUUUGAGCUAUUUGUAAUUUUUUGUUUUCAUUCACCAUUUUGAAUUUGUUUCAAAACCAUCUGUAUAUUAACAUGCCAAUAAAAUAUAGAUAGAAUUUGUCACGUAAAUUCCACAUAUUAUGUGAAUUUCGUGAAUGUAGUCACAUGGACAUAAAUGUAGUGCUUAGAUGGCAAAUCCGUUCCAUAUUUAAUAGUGUAUUGAUGGAUUGAUGAAUUUAAAAUAAAUUCCAAAAGACGUAAAUGGAAAAAAUUGAGUUUGUUUAGUCAUAAAUGAAAAUAAAAUAUUAUGACAAUUUUACAAAAUAAGGAUGCACUUUACUUUAAAAAUGGAGGAAGAUUAAUAACUUUCUUCAUUCGACUUGGUUGGGCAGGUGCAGAUUGAACAUAUUGAUCAUCAGCAUCCCUUGAGCUAUAAUGAGUCUAUUGAACAAAGCGAAAGUCUUCUUUGCAAUGCUUGUCGUCAAGAAGUUUUUGAUCAACACUAUGCUUGUGAAGAUUGUAAAUAUUACUUACAUGAAAAGUGCACUACAUUGCCGUAUGAGGUGUCACACCCUCUUCAUUGCCAGCAUCCUCUCAAGCUCUUCACGGAUAUAGUUGAAUUUACAUGUCAUGCGUGUAGAGACCAUUCUGGUGGGUUUGCUUACAUGUGCCUUCCAUGUGAUUUCCAACUUGAUGUGAAAUGUGCUACCUCUCCAAUCCCACCUAAAAAUGAGGGGCAAAAGCUGAAAGAGAUGGAGAAAGUUUUCAAGUUGUGCCCUUUCAAUCAAAAUCAUAAGCUAGACUUCUUCAACCGUAGAUCCAAUCUCAAAGAUUUGGCUGUGGAAUGCAAUGCUUGCAAGCUACCAAUCUUGGGUCCAGGUUAUACAUGUCUUGAUUGUUUCAAUAUCAAAAUUCAUGAAUCUUGUCUUGCACUUAUGCGGGAGAUGCAGCUCAACUUUCAUCCAUUACACCUCCUUCAUCCACAAAUUGGCGAUUGGGAAAAUUGUUUUGCCUGUAGAUUUAAAAUCAUUGAAAGUAUCGAUUAUAGUUGUCGACAGUGUGAUUUUCACCUUCAUCUUCAUUGUGCUAAUUCCCUGAAGCUGGCCUUAAAAAUUAAGUCUCACGUGCAUAAUCUCUAUUAUUUUGGACCAGAUUAUGAGAAAUCCUACCAAUUAUGUAACAAAUGCAAAAGUUACAUUGGUAAGGAACCUUUCUAUUAUUGCGUGGAGUGCAAUAUGAAUUUGCACUUAAAAUGUGUUCCCAUACCAUGUUCAGUUAAAUCCAAAUGUCACAUGCAUCGUUUGACUCUUAAAGAUCAUUUUGUGGAAGAUGAUUCUGGAGAAUACUAUUGUGACAUUUGCGAAGAAGAAAGGAACUCAAAAAAUCAUUGCUAUUAUUGUGAAGAGUGUGCUGGACAAUUUGUUGCUCAUAUCGAGUGCGCGCUUCUUACAGUAAGUUUAUCACUAUCAUUUUCUCUGUAGAAGUUUUUUAUACCAUAUUUUGAAUUUUUAAAGGAAAAUAAAAAUCUAAGUUACACAUCACAUGAUCGUAUCCACCACUUCUUUGAUUGAUUGGACUUUAUUAAUGGUUAAAGUAACUCAUAAGUUCAUAUAUUAUAGAUUUUUCAUUAAUUUAAACUUUUUACCCAAAAGUGGUUAAUUUAGUCUUUAUACUUUCAGAUUUUAUGUAAUGGACUAAGUUUGCUUAGCUUUAUCUAAAGUAACCAUUAGUGGUACUAGUGUUACAUUGACAUGUAAGAUAAAAAAAAGGAAAUUGGCCAUGUGGUAUUUUUUUCUUUCCUUUUUUUUCUUCACUUAUUUGUUCAAAACUACAUUGUUUUAGAGUAUUAUUUAAAAGCACCUUUAGUUUUUAUUUUUCAUUUUCAUUCUUUCCUUCUCUCUAGCUCUUUUCUCUCCCUUUGAAUGCAAAUUCUGGCUGUCAAUCACUAGUGGUAUGAAAAUUUAAUAAAAAAAUAAAAAAUUCAUAUUUUUUUGCCUUAUUUCCCAUAAUAAAAAUAGCUUUUUCAAAAUCUAUUUUGAUUUUCCUAGAUUUAAAAUCAUAAACUUGUAAAAAAUAAACUUGUUUCUUUCCACUGCUAUGUUCUUGACUUGAUGUUAAUGAUCAAUGAUUGUGUUUUUAUGUUGUAGGAUUUUGAAUUUACAGAUGAAAAUUUUCAUGAAUUUUUCAACUUGAAAGAUGUUGACUCACCUAUUGAGAGUUCCUCUACGGAUGAGUUGCUUUCCCAACCCCAUGCUGAAGUUUACUUGAACCAAAACAGAAUGGUAGUUAAGUCUUAUUUAAGUUCAUUUUAAAGAUUUCAUCUUUUAUGCGAAAAUGAAUUUUAUUUUAAGAAUAGUUAAAUGAAAGAAAAGUUUCAAAAUUUUGUGGGUGCCAUUGUUGUUGCAGAAGUACUGGGUGGAUAAGAAAUUAAACAAAUACUGCUUCAUGUUGUUUGCAAGAGAUCUUUCAAUCACUUGGGCAGAAAACCACCGUUACUGGCGUUGGUCAUACCAAAGAGAAACAAACAGGUUAGCAUAGAUUUAUUAUCCAUUUAGAAUCUUUACUUCAUAGAUCUAGCUUGACAACUUUUCUAAUCCACAAACUUUUGAUUUUGCAGCGAUGUGUUGAUUGAUGUUGCCGAACUUCUAGAUGUGUGUUGGCUAGAAAUGAAUGUGAAAUUCAACGUAAAAAAGCUCUCACCGAAAACAUUGUAUGGACUUGUGUUCGUGCUUAUGUUGACAAAAGAAGCACGUGGAUGGGAAACUCCAGUGAACUUCGGAUUCACUCUUCCAAAUGGGUACAAGGUUGAACGCAAGGAAACUUUGAAGUCCAAGCCGAGAGGAGUAUGGAUAGAAAUCCCCGUUGGAGAAUUUACAACUUCAUCUGAAAUUGUUGGAGAAUUUGAUAUUUACUGUCACGAAUAUGCUACAGGGAAUUGGAAGAGAGGACUUAUUGUUAAAGGAGUUACUAUUCUGCCAAAGAAUUAAACAACAAAUUAGUAUUUUCUCACAAUAAAUCUGAAAGUACUGUAGUUUUUCUAUUUGUUCAUAAUCUUGCAAAUUCGAAAAUGACAUGAACCUAAAAGGAACAAACUCAUCCAAUUAUCACUUCAACAACCAGUUCUUUGGUCCUCAUUUUAAUGUAUAGGUUCCAUGCUAAAUGCAACAAACAAGGCCAUUGAUUUUUUUGGUAUUUUUUAUAAGAUUUUAUGACCACUAGUGGCUAGUGGUUGGCUGUUGAAAUCUGGGUUUGGGGAUCAAAGUCUAAAACAGAAUGAUUAGAUAGAGAGCAAGAGAGAGAAGGAAAGAAGGAAAAAUGAAAAAAGAGAAAAAUAAAUGUCCUUUAAAUUGUAGGUUUACAAUGAUUGGUUUUGGACAAAAGAGAGAAAAAAGAAAAAGAUAAGCCAUGUGACCAAUUUCUUCUUUUAGUCUAACAUGUCAACAUUAGCAUUUUUUUUUAUAUCAAUUUAACUUUAGUAUCACUAAUAGUUAAUUUGGAUGGAGUUAGACAAAGAGACUCAAUGGUACAAAUUCUGGGUAUACAAGGACUAAAUUAAUCAGUUUUGGAUAAAUGGACUAAAUUGACAAAAAAAAAUCUUUAAUAUAGGGAUCUAUGAGGUACUUUGACCAUUAAUAAAUUUCAAUCAAUCAAAGAGGUGAUGGCUAUGAUCAUGUAAUGUGUAUGUGUAAUUGAGAUUUUUAUUUUCCUUCAAAAAAAUUCAAUAAUGUGGUAUAAAAGAAAUCUAUAAAGAGAAAAAAUAAUUGUUGUCUCCUCAGCAUUUUUUGAAACCUUUUCAGCACUUUGAAGCUUUGUCCAUUAAUUAAUCAGCUUGUUUUAGGCAUGUUCAUAUAGUAACACAAGUCUUUACGUUGUAUAGAACCUUUUGUUCCUUUUUGAACUCCUAUAAUCUUGCGCAAGUUGUGUAUAUAGGGAGAUACAUGCCUAAGCUGCAGGGAUGGUUUUUGUUCACCUGCUUUUUUGUAUAUUGAUUUUGCUUAAGGUAUAAAGAUAUAGAAUUUUAAAAAAAAGAUACAAAAUUGUGGGAUUAGCAAAUUGAUAGCCACAUUUGGAAUAAAAAAGUAGCAAUUAAAAGAAGCAUUUUAUCUUUAAUGAUGAGUAAGCUGUCUUUAGCUUUUUUCUUUUUUAUAUUCUCUCAAUAAUUUCCUACUUUAAAUAGAGAAAAAAAACCACCGUUGACAGGGCAUGAAACACAUGCCACUUUCUUGUUUUUGGUAUAAAGGCUUGAGGGAAUCUUUGUUUAGGUUUUAUAUUUAAAUACACUCUCUCAUUAAGAGGCUAGUAGUUGAUCAUCUUUCUCUUCAUCUACCUAAAUUUCUUUCUUUGUUUGUUUCAGAAAACAAGAUAGAGAUUGUUCUGCUAUGAGGAUAUUCUGUACUUGUUUUUGACAGAAAUUUAGUACCUCCUUAAGUCCUCAACCGUCUUGGUGUUGCAAAAAGGGGGUUGUAGCUAGAAAUUAACAACAAAAAAUAUGCAAGCAAGGCUGUUGAUGUGAAUGAUUUAGCUUAGUUUGGGUUAUACAAGGCACAACAAUUCUUUGAACGUCAAAUACACUUUCCUAUAUUUAAGCUUUUUCUUCAUAAUGUGUAGGAUUGCAGGGCAUUUUAUUCAACUAUAUUUUGGUUAGAUUGUAGGGAAAAAGACAUAAAGGAGAGAAACAUUUUUAGAUAAUGAUUCAAAAUUUAAUUUCAUUAAUAAGUUAAAAAAUUAUAGCAAAUUGUCAAAAAGGUUCAAAAAAAAUUUUUCUGCUCCUUUUAUUCUCUCUUAGCCAGAAGCGAUGUGCAUUCUCGAACUAGUGAGUUGCAAAUAAGUGGCUGCUUUCCUGCAUAUCUUUGAGUUGAAUGACCAUAUACUUAUUUAUUUCGUAUAUUUCGAUAAAUUUAUGUUAAUAUUCAAGUUUUUAAUAUUUAAAUGAAUUUAUAUUUGAUGCAUUAACAAUGUAUAUAAGAUAUAUGUCAGUAUAUCAAAUAUGAAUCCUAUUUAAAUAGAUUAAGAGUACAUAGUUAAGAAUUACAGGGAGUUUAAUUUGAGAUAGUAGCUUUUUGUAUGAAAGAACAAAAAUAAGAUUUUAUUACUUUUUUUAUUUGUUUUUGUUAAUUUUAUUGUGUCAGCUUGAUUUUAUGUCAAUAGACCUAUUAAUUCAUCAUGGUUAGUAAUCAACUGCUUCAAUAACGAUGCUUCCCAAGUUUAAAAGGGAAAAUAGGAGAUUCCAAACUUAAAACCUUCAUGUCCUUGAUGCUUUUCUUAUUUCUCUGUCCCUUUUUAUUUGUUGUUUUAGUUACAAAAUUGUGGAAGUAGAAUCUUGAUUGUUGCAUUUUCAAUAAAAAGUACCAAUUUACAGAAGCAUUUUAUCUUUAAUGAUGAGUAAGUUUUCUUUGGCCUUUUUCCUUUUUUUGAAAGACAAAGAGAAUAGUAUUUCAUAAAAAAAGGUACAUCUUAAUUAAAUUAUUUGAAGGCAAGAAAUUAAGAUUAGCAUCAGUAUUCACUUCCAAAUUCUCACAAUCAUUUCUUUUUUUAAAUAAAAAAAAAUAAUGUUGUUUUUAUCACCCACUCAAUUAAUUAAUCUGAAAUUGUCGUUGUAUUAGUAAAAUGAAUCGUAAUCACAAUAUAUGCGCGAUGUGUUUUCAUUGGGCAAGUAAUUGUUAUAUAACUAAAGCAAAAAUAAAGUAAUUGCUAUAUAGCAUUAUUUUACUUAGAGGGAAAUAUUUAAUUAAAGAAAAAAAAAGUAAUUCCAAACUUAGAACCUUUAUCCUUUUAAAAACCAAUGAAUAGAGUAAUGUUGAUUCUCUAUAAAGUGAUUUGAUUUCAAAAUGCCAAAGGUCCUUGAUGCUUUUCUUCUUUUUUAAACAAAACACUCCCCUUGCUAAACUAAAGUGAGAAUCAAUUAAGUUUGGUACAACUUAUAGAUACAUUUAUGCCACUAGUAAUACUUUGUUUCAGAAUUAUCUUUUCUUUUUAAAAACAAUAAAGAUGAAUUAUAUAUUAAAAAAGAGUAUUCCUUUACAACUUAACAAAAAAGACCCACGACUACAUCAAAGGCAAGCAAUGGGACUUAAAAAUUUGGGUAGACCAGUACUUGCCUAAGGUCCCGCCAACUAGCAUUAAAAAGAAAAUAUUACAAAAGGUAAGAAAACUCACUCUAUACAUAACAAAAGGACCUCCGAAAAAGUGUUCAAUCAAUAUCCCUUAAAAAAAAGGCAGUAUAAACGAAGAAACAUCAGUGGUUCCAUAAAGGUAGCAGCAAGCAUUAUGAUGCACAACAAAAGUCAAUAAAGCAGGGGACAGAAUACCCCACACUAGGUUAAUGUAUAUUCUUCUCCGAGGUUGGCAGAGAGUCAUUGAUCCAAAACAAAUCUGUUGAUCUUGAGACACCUUCUUUGGCUAGGGUGUCAGCUUCUUCAUUAGCAGACCGAAAAAUGUUUUUAAUCACCAACCCAACGUCCUUGGUCAACUUCUUCCACAUACGUUGUCCAAUAAAAAUCACUCAAGUGUCUCGCAUUGCUUGAAAAGGACAAAAAGACUGCCACGUGCUACCUUAUUGGCAAUUGCUACUAGCGUUCUCCACCGCCCGCUUGGUGUCGCCUGUACAGCCAGAACCACAACCACCACCAUUUGCAAUUCUCCUGAGUCUGAAUUCUUAUCACAUUACUACUGUUGGAAAAGUGUUUGACAAACAACUUUCAGCUAGUAAGUUAGACUCACUAUAACCUUUAUUAUCAAAAAUUUUAUACGCAUCGCUUUUGGAUUACAAAGCAUUACAAGGACGAAUUAUAAAGCAUUUUAAUUCUCAUGGUUUUUUUUUUUUUUUUAAAGAGUGAUUUUGGGUUCAACUUUAAGAAAUUGUCUGCCACUUGUUCAUUGUUACAAAACAGGGUCGGAAGAGAAGCAGCUUCAACAUCAUCCACUUGUUCAGUCAACCAAUAAUUAACUGCUGUUUUCAUUAACCAAUUUACAUUUGAGAAACAACAAAAACAAUGGCAAAAGCACUUCUUUCCAUGAUCCUGGAGCAGCAGUUGGGUGGUUCGUUCAUUCCUCAAGAGAUAAAGCAUCAUGUCGGAUUGGCUGUAGGUCUUGAAGAAGAAAUCCAAAAACUCACCAGCAACUUUGACGCCAUUCAAGCUGUGCUUGAAGAUGCGAAAGGAUAAACCAAACAGGGCUUGCCUAACCCAAGGCGCGGAGGAUAAGGCAUACCGAUGUGGAUGCGGCCCAUAUCCCAAGCUGUUUCCCCACAGACCCUCCAACAGUGUCCCAUAACUCUAGUCCUACAUCCACCACGGAAGAAUUACAAGACUCCCAAGGAGCGGAGGACGGCAAUGGAGGCGGCUGGCUCCGAUUCCGAUGGCAGAGAAUUCAAGAACCCACAGGAAAUGUGGAGGGAGCAAAUUGGAGAUGCAGAUGCAGGAGAUAACCAUAAGAAGACUCAGUGGUACCGUGAAGGCGUUGCCUAUUGGGAAGUAAGUCUUUCUUAACUCUGGUUCUUACAUUUGUAUGUGGGUACCAUUACCGAACUCAUAAUAUAGUUAUUGGUUUCUUUGGUUGUGCUAAGAGAAGGGUGUGGAGGCAUCGGUAGAUGGGGUGUUGGGUGGAUUUGGGCAAGUAAAUGAGGCAGAUGUCAAGGGUAGUGAGGUUUUUCUCAAUACCCUUUUGCAUGAAAGAUUCUCGAUGGCGGUGGAAGAAAUCACCAUCUUGUUGCUCUUGGUACUUCUCUGUCUCUCUCUGUGUGCUCAACUUUAUAUUGUUUUUAUGAAGUUAUAUACCCAUAUAUGUUCUGUUGAGGUAGUUUGGUUUAUGUUAUUAUUAUUUUUUUUUUUUACACUAAAAAUCAACCUUAGGUUAUUAUGCGCCAUUAAAUGUGGAAGUGCAAAGUUGGUGAUGGGAUCCUACUUCAUUAGAAUGUAGCAUUGGUGGAAAACCUAAUUAACUAUAAAUUAAACAAAAAACAUAGUGGUGACAGCAGAAAGGGAUGUUGUGAUAGAUGAAAUUUUGAGUUAAAUAUCCGCAAUUAGUGCUUGAAACCGGAAACCAAGAUAACUUGAUAACACAACCAUGAAGAGUUUAUGUCCCAUAAUCCCACCCCAUAAAAGAAAAUAAAUAAAUAAAGAAGAGGAAAGCAUGGAAAUUUGCAUGAAUAUGCAUUUUCUGAAUUAAUUUGCAUGAUAUCUUCACCAAAAAUCAGUCUUAGUAGUGCAAGAAUUAUGUCAUGCAUUAGAGGUGUUGCUUUGAUUUAGAAUGCCAGCGUUAUAGGUGUUGCUCUUAUUUAGAAUGCCAUAAUGCAAUUGAGAAUUGGGUUUACUACAUGCUAUUUUGCUUAAUAAAAAACCAUCUUUAAGCAAUAUUCUUUUUUAAAUUUGGGAAGAAGCUUGCUGGGAGUUCUCUCUGUCUCUUAAGGGUUGUGUGCUUGUGGGGGGUGGGGGAUGGGGCACCCCUGGACCCAAUUUGAGGCCGUUGUGAGUGCUCAGAAUAAAGGAAAGAAAUUUCUGUGUUUAAGAUUGAAAAAUUACUUUCACAUUUCGUCAGCAGCGAAGAUGCUCUAUCUUGCUAAUAUUCUGGAACUUGUUAUCCUUUGAAUGGCAAAAAUUAGAUAUGUCUUCAGUAUGUUUUAUUACUAGGAGAUUGAUUCUUCGACAUGAGUAGGAUCUAUAAUUGCCUAUAUAUGAAGUUGGUCUUAAUACUUGUGAGUUGGUGGACUAUACUGGGGCAACUGACUGAAAUCUUGCGAAGGGGAAUUGUAGGGGAAAUUAUUUAGGAAACUAAGCAGUUGGAGUUUGGCUUUAAUAUAAAGAUAUUUAGAUAACUAAGCAGUAAUGGUUUGGCUUUAAUAUGAAGAUAAUUAAGUGAUUUCCACAAGUUUUAUUUUAAGUAAUAUGAUAUAAGAUGCACUUAAGCACUUGGCUCUAUGAUAGGUGCAUGUAUCCCCUGCUAAAAGAGCUGGGUUUAAAUUACCAUCACCAAAUAAAAUAAAAUAAAACAUGAUAAUUGAUGGUUGUGCCCUCAAACUUUUGCCUUCAUGUGGUUUAUGUUGGUGGAAUCAAAACAAACUCUUUUGAUGAUCUCAGUGCAGAUGAAUCUGGUACAUUUUAGGGCCUAGCAUACUAAAUUAAACUACGUCAUAAUUCUCAAAACACUGCAUUGCUGACCUUUAUUUUAAGUCCAUACAUUUAAGCAGUAGUAAUACCUGCAAAUGGUUCUAAAGCAUACUUGAAAUAUUGCUGGAGUACUGAUCUGUUUGGUAUUUCAUUUUUCUUGAUGUUUUUAAUUCUAAUUGAAAAUCAUAAAUCUAGUUGACAUUCUGAGCUUUUAGUUUCUAUGUUAAUUUAACAUACUGCAGAUUGUGGUUCUAGCAUAGGGAGAAUAACCAAUAAUCUGUUUGGUCAUUUUUCUCUUUCUAUUAGUUUAUUUUCAAUAUUCCUGACAUUUACCAUCUUUUCAAUUAAUUGAUAACAUGGUUCAUAGUGCAUAAUUUUUACUAGCUAAUGAAUUUCUCUGAUGUUUUUGAAUUGAAAGCAAAAUUGGGCGGUGCCUUUUAAAAAAUUCAAGUAGGACAUGAGGAGGGUAUACGUUAAUUUCGAGGUACCUGAACCCUAAGCUUAUAAAAAAUCAAAUACCCAAACCUUAUUAAUUACUUGAAUAAUUUUAAAAAUUACUACUUUAACCUUAACCCUAAUACAUUUUCACUGUUCUAUAAUUAUCCUAAUCUGUUAGAAAACCCCAAUUAGAUAAAAAAAUUAUUAAAAUGUUCUUCAUGAGUACCCAAUUACUCGAACCCAAACCCAUAUCCAUAUACAAUAAUAUUUAUCCUACAUAUUUCAUAUAAUUAACUACUAAUUAAAUUAAUAAAAACACAAAUAAUAAAAUUUAAAUUUAAAUAAUAAAAAAUUAUAAAGUGUGUUUAUAAAUGAACAUAAUAUAUGAUAUAAAUCAAUAUUAUUUUAUUAUUCAGUAAUUAUUAACUUAUAUAAUAGUAAUUAUAUUCUUUAUAAAUAAACAUAAUAUAUAAUAUAAAGUGUAUGUAUUAAAAGACAUUAAAAGUUAUAUACUCUAAAGUGUGUAUAUAUAUAUAUUAUAAUUAAUAAUUUUAUAAGUUAUAAUUUUUGUAAUGUUAACACAAAAUAAAAUGUAAAUAUAUUUAUAUUUAAAGUANNNNNNNNNNNNNNNNNNNNNNNNNNNNNNNNNNNNNNNNNNNNNNNNNNNNNNNNNNNNNNNNNNNNNNNNNNNNNNNNNNNNNNNNNNNNNNNNNNNNNNNNNNNNNNNNNNNNNNNNNNNNNNNNNNNNNNNNNNNNNNNNNNNNNNNNNNNNNNNNNNNNNNNNNNNNNNNNNNNNNNNNNNNNNNNNNNNNNNNNNNNNNNNNNNNNNNNNNNNNNNNNNNNNNNNNNNNNNNNNNNNNNNNNNNNNNNNNAAACAUAUCUCAGAAGUCAGAAAAACAUCACAGCCCCUUCCUUUUCAGCAUCAAAUAGAAAACAGCCCUGCCCCCUCAUCCAAUAAGUACCCAUUCUGUGCAACUCUGGAAGAAGAGCUCAAAUCAUGUGCUCUCAUUCUGCUUUCGUACUCCUGAAAAUACUCACAUGUACAGCAUAUAUUUGUUAAAUCUACAUUGCAUGGUAUAUGUUGUUGUCACCAGUAGAACAGGGAAGAGGCCAUGAAUCCUGCGGAUAAUUGUAUGGAACGUGCAGCGAAGAGGCCAUGGAACAUUAGUCAAUAUUGCAAUUUUGUAGCGUUUUUUCUGAGAUAACCACUCCACAGACUAGGCUCCAACUCAACAAAAGAAAAAAAAUUGCGGAGUCAUAGAUCUCCCAUGUUGGAAUUUUGAUUAGUGAUUUUCUCUUAACCAAUUCAAAACAUGUUAAUUUCUAUAUUUGUUGACCACAUGAGGCUAGGAAAACUUUCACCAAAACGUUCAAGGAAAAAACAGACCAGAAAUGGAAGUUUACCUACUUGAUUGUUCAGAGUGACUCACCUUCCCCAUCAGAAUCAAUUCUCCACCACCAUGAAUUGUCUCUUCCUCCUUCAGACUUUCACUGAUUUCGCAGUUUGCCCCCCUGCUAAGCUGCUGCACUUCGCACUGCUUCCUUGAUUGGGUUGACUAUCGCCAUGCGGAUUAUUAUUUGGACCCUUCUUUUUAAUGGGCUAAAACAUACCAGCUUAAUUCACAUCGGCCAAACCCAACUACAGGAGAGUGGCUGGUGGAUCUCUCCAUGGACCAAGUUAUCAGCAGAAGCCUGCAGGCCUGAUAGGACAGGCGGCCUGGAUAUGAUUUUCUAGGCUCAGGUUCUACAAGGUUUGACCCAAGAAUACUGUUAUUUUUAUUAAUAAAUACUUUAUUUUAUUAUAUUUUAAUUCUAAAAUAUAUUUUCAAAUACUAAUGUAAAAUUAUUUAAUAUAUAUAAUAAUAAAAUAUAUAUAAACGAGUAUUGGAAUUGGGUUUGGGACGGGUACCCACGUAACCUGAAUAUUAACAUAAUCAGGUUCAGGUAGCGGGUACUCAAGAGAUAGUACCUGAAUCCGAUAUGGGUAGUGAAAUCACUAUUCGAACCCGUCUUAAACCCGAUUAUAGAGUAUCAUAGUAUGAGUUGGAGCUAUGAUCUUAAUAAAGCUGCAUAGUACUUUGUGAUAGCUAUGCUUUCUGACCCCUCUUCCGUUUACCAUUCUCCAGGUUGAUCUACUUGAGCCAGUUUCACAUUUCUUAGAUGCUGCCCGUCAAAGUUUGUCUCAGGAAUAUUUUGUAGCCUCUGAUGCGCACAAAGCAAGUAAUUUCUACUGUGUCCCCCUUCAGGUAAUGUAGUUCAAGACUAUAUUCACACAUAGAUACAUGCUUCUUGAUGUGUUGAAGUAUUCAUAACUAUGGUUAAGUCUAUGUAAGCUAUGUAUUUCCAACUUUUCACUUUACCCUUUAUUGCGGAUGUAGCCAUGUAAUUGACACCUCAAGCAGGCAUGUUGUUUGAGUACAAUCCUGGGAAAAACUUACAAAAUUUAAUGUAAACAUGUUAAAUAUGGGUUUGCACCUGGAACUCGCAUUUGAAUCUGGGCAACAUAGUCUGUAUUCUGUAGGCGGCUUUAGUCAUGAAUCAUUAUAGGUAUAGCCUAGAAGAGUUAAUAUGACUGAUAUUAUGGGGAUGGGAUGGGUGGGAAGGAGAUUGGACAUGUGUAGCUUUAGCUUGCAAUGUGAAACUUAGAUGAUUAGACAACCUUUGGAUUCAAGUAAAUUUUUGCAAACAAUUAUUUACUCUUUUGUGUGUGUUGUGGGGGGGGAAGAGGGGAGCAGCAUAUUGGGUAGUGAAUGAGCUCUCUAAGUUGGUGACAUAUGUACUUGUCUUCUUCUGAUGCUUCUGGCUGCUAAAUUUUACUUUAUAAAACAGAAAUUUGACAACCAUAUUUUUUUGUCUUUUUCUUUUUCAGGAGUUCACCCCUGAUGCUGGAAGGUACAAUGUUAUUUGGAUUCAGUGGUGUAUCGGUCAUCUCACAGAUGAUGACUUUGUCUCAUUUUUUAAGAGAGCAAAGGUGAAUAAAUCUUCUUCUUGAGACAGAACUUACUUUUUAUUUGACAUGUUGUGCUGUGUGGAAGUGCAUGGAAAGAUCAAAAUUAUGUAUUGAAAUUUUCUUGCCUGCUGUCUACUAUACAUUCGAAUUGCCUUGUUCUGAUUUUUGAAUUAUGAACUGUCAGAUCAUUGCAAUGGUAUCUCAAAUUUUCCUUUUCCAAAUUUAUUGCUUCUAGCUUUCUCUCUUGUAACUUCUCUUAAACCUUCUUACAGCUAUAGGAAUUAAGGUUGUCUAGAGAACAUAACAUAGCAAACACCAGAAGGAUGAUAUAGUCAAACUCUUUUUUCUUUUUGUCCUUUCUUUUUUUAUUUUAAUUUUUUUUUUUGCAAUGUGUCGUGUUGUUCAUUCUAUUCUUCUUCCUGCUAGGUAAGUAGCGGAUUUGAUGGGUUGGUUUGGAGUGUUUGGGCCCAUCCCUAGCACCACAGAAACAAGGCUUGAUAAUGCUUUACAAUUCAUACAGCUAUUUUGCUAUCAUCCGUUUUCUCACCUUACAAAAGCUUGUGACCAAAUUUUGUUGUGCCUUGUGCAUUGAAAUAAGUUUUAAGAAAUGAUGGUAGUUUGACUUUUGUCCUUUAAGUUUGUAAAUGGUGGGAAAUAAAAUUAAAUCUAGAAAGUGCCAUAUUCAUUUCAUGGCACCUUGAGUCCCUACUCUCCUGCUUCCCUUGCUGCAACCUUUUUUUUUUUCCAGGUGCUGUUGAGCAUAACUUUUUGCUCUGCCUUCAAUGUAUUUUCAUCAAAAUUAAGCAAAACAUAUUAAUAAUAAAAAGCUCCAACAUGGAAAUUCUUGGGCAUGUGUAUGUGUAUGUAGUUUGGAGGCCUGAUCUCUAAGUUGUGUCCUGGAAAGACCCUUGUUGAAAUUUAUUAUUCUUGCAUAUAUGAUUUAAAAGAUUAUAAUUUGCACUUUAAUUUGAUACAGUAAUUAAUUUGUUGAUUCCAGGUAGGCCUUAAACCUGGUGGAUUCUUUGUCCUGAAAGAGAACAUUGCUAGAAACGGUAUUGUCUUUAUGACUCUUUGAUUUUUCUAAGCAUGUUUGUUUGCCCUCCCUCCCUCUCUCCCUCCCCUUUUUAAGAAGUGCUCAAGUUUUGUUUAAUGCAUUCCUCAAACUUUCUUAUGUUUUGGUAUUCUGUGGUAAAUUUUCAUAAAGUUGUGUUUUUCUUUUUUGAAAUGCCGCAUGUCAUCUCACGUAUGAGAAGGCAUAAAGUUGCUUUUUUGAGCUGAUAUUACUUUCUAACUUUGUCUUAUUAUGUAAUUAUCUGGCCCCUCUACAACUUUGAAGUAACAUCAUAGUUAAUAAUAAUUAAAAGAUAAAUGGAUAAAGGAAAUUUUAAGCUCCAUUUUCUCGUUCCAUUGCUUGAUACCAAGGGAAGCAGCAAGUUUUUGUUUUAUGCAUUCCUCAAACUUUCUUAUUUUUUGGUGUCCUGCUGUAAAAUUUUCAUAAAGUUGCUUUCUAGAGCUGAUAUUACUGUUUAAAUUUGUUUUAUUAUGUAUUCAUCUGCCCGCUACUGCUUUGACUUAUUCUAGUUAAUGUUUUAAAUGUUGAAUUAAGGAUAAACGGAUAAAGGAAUAUUUAAGCUCCAUUGUCUUGUUUCAUUGCAUGAUACCAAGGGAAACAGCAAAAAAGUGUUGAAACUUAUAAUUCGCAGGUUCAGGGAUGAGUCUCAUCUGCUCAAAUGGGUAUGGGGUAUAAUUUUACUAUGCUACCAAUUUGGGACACCUUUUGGUAACACUGUCUAUGUACAACUUUCUUCAGUGAAAAUUCAUGAAGGAAAGAUGACCUAGUGAUGUAGUGAGGAAGUAGAAACAAUAACAAGAAACCAAAACAGUGAACAAAACCAGAACAAAGGUUAAAAUUGAUGUAAAAUCAAAGUCGGAACAAGUUACAAGCCAUUAGGACCAAUUGUCGAGCAUCUUAAGGUUAAAUAAACAAGUCACUCCCAUCUGUAAUAGAUUGAUUCAAACCAGCUAGAUAACAAGAAGUCAACUGCUCAUUAGUCUCUUUGAAACCAACACUAGGGAAAGGUUGUUGAAACCUGAAGUGUACUCCUCAAUGGACAUACUAUUUUGCUUGAGUGAAUGAAAUAUCUCAUUCAACUCCAUUUAAUCAGCUGGCAGAAAUUUCCUCAUCUUCAUUUUCAUGUGUUCCCAAGUGUUGAUUUUUGGCUUGCCUUGAUGUGCUUGCCGCUCUUCAACGCUCUUCCACCAUUGAAGUGCAGUCCCUUCAACUUAAGCUUCACAAACAGCACCUUUCUUUGUUCUACCAUUGGUUUCUACUAAAAAUAAUUUUACAAACUCGCUUUCUGGUCUAAAUAAUCUUUUGCAUGCAUCUUUUUCCGGAAGUCAUCUACCUUAAUUCUAACUCCACCACCAUUUAAGUCUAGGCAUGUAACAAUCAGCCUUCCAAUCUACCACAAACAGCAUUAUUUGCUGCUCGAGCAUUAUGAAAAGGGUUUUCAGCCUCUCCAUAUUCAAUUUCAUCCUCAAGACCACCUUCCGGUAAACCGAAAGGGUCAGGAUUGCCUUGCGGAUUCUCCAUUCGGGCUCCCAUUGGUUCCUGUCACUUUAAAGCUUGCUCAGCCUGCAACAAAUCUUCAAUCAUACCCUUAAACUCAGCCGAUUCUGUUUGCUGGUCUUGAUUUCUUUUCCACGUCCACUAACAAGUCCUCUAACACGAUUAGCCAUGGUUUAUAAGCUAAAAUCCUAGUUCAACUUUAAGAUCUGUUCAUCUGAUACCUCUUUGAUGUAGCAUGGAAGUAGAAACAACAAAAACAAAAGAAAAACAAUGAAGAAAACCAGAACAAAGGCUAAAAUUGAUCUUAAGAUCAAAGUAGGAACAAGUUACAGCAGCUUUUAAUUGUAGCCCUUCGAUACAAACAAGCCCAUCUAAUCCUAGCCAUUCAAACUAAUUAAAAAUGAUCACAUGCUGAUCACGACACAUGACUAGAUAGAAAACAUAAUUACAAACUUUUAACUAAAGUAAAACAUAAUAAGAUAACCAAUUGGAGAUAAAUUUAAGAAUGCUCUUGCAUAACCUAGCCCAACAAUUAAACUUGCCUAAGGCUUGACUUAAACUAGGACUCAAGUCUCAUAAUUUGCUUGCAUUCAACUCACAAAAUGCUUGGAUUCAAUCAGUUUAUUGUUGAGUUAUUCUUGAGCUCAAGUGACCAAUCGAGUCUAGUUCAAGUGUUUAUAUUACUCAGUCAAGAUGGUUCAAGAGCGUAAUCAACUUUUAAUUUUUUAAUAUAUUUUAAUAUUCCAUGUAUGUAAUACUCGUAUAACACUGAAAAAUAUAAAGCUCUAUCAAGUCCAGCUUGGAGGUCUCAGACAUAUGUACCCUCCAAAAAAUUGUUCAAGUUGAGCUUCAGGUCUUAGUUUUGUAAUUGAGUCGUGUCAAGUUCAAGGUUGUCAUUUUGUCAACUUGAUUUGGCUCAGUUAUGCACCUAGACUUUAACCAGCUCAAACUGACUAAAAGGUUACUGAAUUGAAAGUUGAGACAGGGACAAUUCAAACACAAAGUAAUCUGGAAUUCCAAAAAUCCAAACUUAACACCUAAAAACCUUUAAAUGACAAGUGGGUAGUUAUACCCCUUUCGCAGUAAUUGCAUAAAUUCACUUAACUUGGCUUGCAUGUGGAGAACUUGUCAGUGGAAUUGUUCAGUGGCAAAAUGAGUUUCACUGAGCUAUCACUUGUUUGCAGGAUUUGUCUUGGAUAAAGAAGAUUGAAGCAUCACCAGAUCUGACUUAUACUUCAAGGCCCUAUUUCGUCGAUGUGGAUUGCACCUGUAUAAAAUAAAGGUACCUUCUAUUGCAUAUUGACCACUUAAUAAGCUGUUGAUAACGCUUUUUUAAACUGAAUAUUCUGUUAGUUUACUCGUAAAUGCUUUUGACAGUUGUUGUUUCAUGAGGCCUAAUCCUAACUAUAUUUUGACUUUGAAAGAAUAUACAAUACAUAAAGCUACACAGGUCUGCUGUGGUAUCUUAAAUGGUGCUCAAAGUUCUUAAUCAGCCCCAACUUCCAUUGUUUUGAUUCUGAAAAGCAAAACCCCCCUCACUGGCUAAAAUAAAGUGGGAAUCAAUUCAGUAUGGUACAAUUUAUAGAUAUGGUACAUUUAUGGCACCGAUGAUACUUUGCUGCAGAGUUACCUAUAUCAUGUAUUCUUUUAUCUUCCCUAUUAUCAAUCACUUUUACAGAGAAAUUAUGGUCUUGAAGUCAAAACUGGAUACUUUAAUAAUUAAAGUUAUAAUCAACCUCAAAAUUGUGUGCUGGGUUAUGGCGGUAAAGGGGUCAACUUGAUGUAAGUUACGCAACUUGGACUCACACCAUAAAACUCAACCAAAUUCCAACAAAGAUUAGUUGCCAACCCAUCCAGUUGUGUCUGUUACACAUAACCUUUGACUUGCAACAUAACAAUCCCAAGAUGACACAUUGAAAACUGAUAAGUUUAUAUAGAUCAUGCACUAAUAGCCUCAUAUGUUGCCAUUGUCUUAACAACUAAGUCUCUAAGCCAACAUUCAAAAAUUUAGAUCUUGAAACGUUAAAAUACAAGGUCUAGCUAAAAAUCCAAUGAUAGGUGCGGGCUUUAUAGGAUGAGAGAGGGCUUCUCCUAUUGUGAAGCCCUCGUUCCAUUGACUUUCAGAUGUGCCCCAAGAGCAUAACAUUAGUGAGAGGCGUUGUGUGAUCUAUGUUGUUUGGUAAGUUUUAGAUAUCAUAUCAUCUUUUGUAUCCUUAUAUUCUUAUUUGAUGUUGCUGAGUUGAAUCGAUAAGGGUGUGAUUUCUAGUUGCAUGUUCAAAGUUUCCAUUAGAAAUAGGGGCAGGUUUGGUUUGCAAUCCCCCUACUUCAUUUUAGGGUUUUCAACUAUCAUAAUGUAUCCUUCCUUUUGUUAUUUAUUUGUUUGUUGUUUUGAAAACAGGACCAGAAAGGACUCCCUGAGGAAUUGUUUGCUGUAAAGAUGUAUGCUUUAACAACUGAAGGGCCAAAGAAGGUUCUCAAGACAAGAUCCAAGGCGCAAGCCAACAGACCUGACAUCAUCAAAUGAUUUGUUGCCUCUACCUUGUUGCAUUGUUGUAGGAGUACUCAAACUUUCUGGUGUAGGAUGUGAUUGUAUCUUCUUCCUAUGUAAUUUGUUAGCGUAUUACCUCAAAUUGUUUUUACUUUACAAGCUCCUUGUGGACUAGUUUUGUUCUUUUUCGUUUGAAGCUGUAUAUUUAUCCCCG